AGUCGAGCGGCGCGCGGUGCAGCAAUACACUGGCGGCGAGCGGCGGACGGGUGAGGAAUGCGUCGGAAUCUGCCUUUUUGUGGGGGAUAACGUAGGGAAACUUACGCUAAUACCGCAUACGACCUACGGGUGAAAGUGGGGGACCGCAAGGCCUCACGCAGAAAGAUGAGCCGACGCCGGAUUAGCUAGUUGGCGGGGUAAAGGCCCACCAAGGCGACGAUCCGUAGCUGGUCUGAGAGGAUGAUCAGCCACACUGGAACUGAGACACGGUCCAGACUCCUACGGGAGGCAGCAGUGGGGAAUAUUGGACAAUGGGCGCAAGCCUGAUCCAGCCAUGCCGCGUGUGUGAAGAAGGCCUUCGGGUUGUAAAGCACUUUUGACCGGAAAGAAAUCCUUUCUAUU
rnacentral:rRNA from 1 species